rnacentral:rRNA from 1 species
AGCGAACGCUGGCGGCAGGCUUAACACAUGCAAGUCGAACGGGCGUAGCAAUACGUCAGUGGCAGACGGGUGAGUAACGCGUGGGAACGUACCUUUUGGUUCGGAACAACCCAGGGAAACUUGGGCUAAUACCGGAUAAGCCCUUACGGGGAAAGAUUUAUCGCCGAAAGAUCGGCCCGCGUCUGAUUAGCUAGUUGGUGUGGUAACGGCGCACCAAGGCGACGAUCAGUAGCUGGUCUGAGAGGAUGAUCAGCCACAUUGGGACUGAGACACGGCCCAAACUCCUACGGGAGGCAGCAGUGGGGAAUAUUGGACAAUGGGCGCAAGCCUGAUCCAGCCAUGCCGCGUGAGUGAUGAAGGCCCUAGGGUUGUAAAGCUCUUUUGUGCGGGAAGAUAAUGACGGUACCGCAAGAAUAACGCCCCGGCUAACUUCGUGCCAGCCGCCGCAGUAAU